rnacentral:rRNA from 1 species
UCCUGGGGCUGUAGUCGGUCCCAAGGGUUGGGCUGUUCGCCCAUUAAAGCGGUACGCGAGCUGGGUUCAGAACGUCGUGAGACAGUUCGGUCCCUAUCCGUCGUGGGCGUAGGAAAUUUGAGAGGAGCUGUCCUUAGUACGAGAGGACCGGGAUGGACAUACCUCUGGUGUACCAGUUGUCGUGCCAACGGCAUAGCUGGGUAGCUAUGUAUGGACGGGAUAAGUGCUGAAAGCAUCUAAGCAUGAAGCCCCCCUCAAGAUGAGAUUUCCCAACUUCGGUUAUAAGAUCCCUCAGAGAUGAUGAGGUUAAUAGGUUCGAGGUGGAAGCGUGGUGACACGUGGAGCUGACGAAUACUAAUCGAUCGAAGACUUAAUCAAUUUUUUCAA